rnacentral:rRNA from 1 species
CACGUAGGGUGCGAGCGUUGUCCGGAAUUAUUGGGCGUCAAGAGCUCGUAGGCGGUCAGUCGCGUCUGCUGUGAAAACUCGGGGCUUAACUCCGGGCCUGCAGUGGGUACGGGCUGACUAGAGUGCGGUAGGGGAGACUGGAAUUCCUGGUGUAGCGGUGAAAUGCGCAGAUAUCAGGAGGAACACCGGUGGCGAAGGCGGGUCUCUGGGCCGUAACUGACGCUGAGGAGCGAAAGCGUGGGGAGCGAACAGG